UACGGGGGGAGCAAGCGUUGUUCGGAUUUACUGGGCGUAAAGGGCGCGUAGGCGGCCAGCACAAGUCAGUUGUGAAAUCUCCGAGCUUAACUCGGAAAGGUCAACUGAUACUGUGCGGCUAGAGUGCGGAAGGGGCAACUGGAAUUCUUGGUGUAGCGGUGAAAUGCGUAGAUAUCAAGAGGAACACCUGCGGCGAAGGCGGGUUGCUGGGCCGACACUGACGCUGAUGCGCGAAAGCUAGGGGAGCAACGGG
rnacentral:rRNA from 1 species